rnacentral:sRNA from 1 species
GCUGGGUGCCCUGGCGUAUGCCUGUGAUCCCAGUGACUGGGGAGGCUGAGACAGAAGGAUUGCAAAUUUGAAGCCAAUCUGGACAACUUAGCAGGACUCUGUCUCAA